UGUCACCCAGGCUGGAGCACAGUCGCGCAAUCUCAGCCCACUGCAACCCCCGCCUCCUGGGUUCAAGCGAUUCUCCUGCCUCAGCCUCUCGAGUAGCUGGGACUACAGGCAUGCACCACCACACCCAGAAAAUGGAGACUCCAGCAUGGAAAAUGGCAGAGCUUCAGGAUGAAACUGGAACUCUGGAUCACUGCUUGAUGAAGAAAGGCACACCAGUCAGGACACCUGUUUUUGACUUUAUGAGCCAGAAAUAAAGUUGUAUUGUGUAUGCCAGG
rnacentral:lncRNA from 1 species